AAAAUAUCUGAAUAAAUGUAAUUAAAAACUAUUAAGGUUGUAACGUGACAAAUGUAUCUAGUUAUUUUUUUUGUCUAUUUAUAUAUAUAUAUAUAUAUAUUUGUUUUGAGCCAAAUGCGGACUGCGACGGCGUUUGUCAGUAAAAUUAUCGUGAUAAGGUAUUGUGAUUUGUUUAUGCGCGUGCGAGAUAGUCAGCUGUGUACUACUUCAGACCGGUUCAUGGACGGCAUUUAUGUGUACAUUCACCCCGCUCCUUUCCCAUCUUGAACGUCAUUUGCACUGCUCACCGCAUACAUUGUCGCCUUAUGAUUAAAAUUGUUCUUAGUAAUUUCUGGCACUGGGUAUUAAGUUUUUUUUUGACCCCUACUCCAAAGGCUAGCCGUGUUGUCGCCAACGGACCGCCGGGUCAAACGUCGGACGAGUUGUCGGAAAUUAGCCAUCGUCGGAACUGGUACGCUAAUUUUCGUCCGUAGCGGUAGUUAUUUUUGUUGUGUGCGUUACAACUUUUUUAUAUAUAUAUACAUUUUUUUUUUUUUUACGUGAGUGUCCGCUGUUCGUUUAUUAUGUAGUUUUUUUUAUUGGCGUCGGCUGAACCUACCUCCAGUUUCUUUAGCCCUUCGGGGCUGGUAAUGUUUUAUAUUUUACUUUAUGGGCGAUAUGUAUAUAUUAUUGGUACAAUGUGGUGACGUAGUGUAUUUUAUUCCGGGGUGUCCCAACGUCUUGCAAGCUAAGUCUAACUGCCUAAAACCAGUCGCUUACUUGGGACGUAUACCCGCCGUGCUUAGCGGUAAUUCUGGGAUUAAUAGCCGGCGGGUACCCGAAGACGUUCAUCGUAUUCUCUAAUAAUAAAAGUGUAGGUGUAACUAUUUUUUUUAUUAAUAUCUGUUUUUUUUUUCUCUUUCUUUGUCCCCUUUAAUUGUAGACGAGGUUUUUUGACCGUUCGGUUUUUUGCCUCGUGUUAACUUAAUUUUUUUGUUUUUUUUU